rnacentral:snoRNA from 1 species
AUAGGAGCGGUGAUGAGCAAUCUUUGUGGACUAGAGUUUCUGAUACUACGAAGGUAGUAUUUGACGACCAAACCCUUGGCUGUCUGAGCUCCCAA